UACGGAGGGGGCUAGCGUUGUUCGGAAUUACUGGGCGUAAAGCGUACGUAGGCGGCUUUUUAAGUCAGAGGUGAAAGCCCGGGGCUCAACUCCGGAAUUGCCUUUGAAACUGGGAGCUUGAACAUGGGAGAGGUAAGUGGAAUUCCGAGUGGUAGAGGUGAAAUUCGUAGAUAUUCGGAGGAACACCAGUGGCGAAGGCGGA
rnacentral:rRNA from 1 species